ensembl:misc_RNA Y_RNA Y RNA
GGCUGAUCCGAAGGUAGUGAGUUAUCUCACGUGAUUGUUCACAGUCAGUUACAGAUUGAACUCAUUGUUCUACUACUUUCCCCCCUCCUCACUACUGCACUUGACUAGUCUUAA